ACCAUCAGACCCUAAGUCCCCAAAUCCCUAGGUGGUCAUCUUCUUCUUCAUAGGCAUAGAACCAAAGCUCUUUGCUCCUCAUCUCAGCCUCCCAUCCCCUCUCCGCCAUUGCGCCGUCGCUCCGCAGCUCCUUGCCGUCACUACUUAGUCCCACUGCUCUUUGCUGUCGGUGCUCACCUCCCGCCUGCCGUUGGCCAGUCGCUGCUCAGCCGUACAACUCCUCGCCCUCGCUGCUCAAUCGCGCAACUCCUCGCCCUCACUGCUCAGCUCGCACAUCUCCAUUCAUCGCUUGGUCGCCGUCGUUGUGAGCUUGACUGUCGCUGUUGCAUGUGAGCCUGUCACCGACUCACCGGAGCCCUUUUUCUCUGUCUCUGACCGCCGGUUUAAAUCUUGAUUUGCAAACUUUUAAUGAUGAUGAAGAUGUUGACAGUGAUCAAGAAUAAAGGUUGAAGAUUCCCUUAUAUCUAAUAUUGUAAUUUCUUUAUUAUGGUGUUAAAUUUGUAGUGAUCUAAUACUUUUUUUUUUUAUUUCAAGUUAUUUGAGCUAAUGACAUUAUAUGAAUUUUUAUGUUUGCAUUUUAAUUUAUCUAUG